UAUUGAGUCACAACAAUGGCUAAGAGGCUAUUUAAGAGUUCUCCAAAAUAAGGUGAUUGACAGAAGGUAGUAAUGUCUGCUGUUCUGAUCACUCCAAUUAACGAGGAAACUGCUUGUAAAUUGCAGACUUCUCUGAAGCACCAUUGUACAUUUAACAGAGAAGGAAGAAAUCCCAGGUAAACAAAAAAGCGAAACAAUGUGUUAGAGAGUUUGUAUCCGAAUAAUUUUGCAACAGCCAACAGAGAGAAAGACCAACUUGGAG
rnacentral:lncRNA from 13 species